CUGACCGGAAGUGUGGCUGUGGGUGGUUUACCGCCAGACUGUGAUGGUGGCGGGGCACGGCUGCGUGACUGCUCAACUCAGCUGUACUUCUCACCACGUGGCAAAGGAUGGACCAAAGGCUGGGAGCAACUGGGAGUGUCUGGGACUGUGCCCCAAGGAAGCCACACAAACUGUGUAGCCAGACAGUCUGUCUGGGAGGAGAAGGAAGGAAUUUAUCUACCAGCUCCCAUCUCUCAUGGACCAAAUUCUUCCCCACUGUACAUAACUCCAUAUCACUUUCAGAUUGCAUAAGGGUGAGAGCUGAAUGUAGGCUCCAACAGGAAGACGGCAUUGAAGCCUGGUUGCUUGUUACUACUCAGAAUGCCAUCUACAAAAGGAAAUUAUGUAAAAAGCAAUAAAGAACCCCUUUUGUUCUUGCAGGAGUCAGUGUUUCAUAACUCUUUCUGUGAUAUCGUCUGUAUAAGUUGAACCUCUAAAGGACAGAGCAGAGUGUGGAGACCCACAACUGGAACUUUUUCUCCAAGAACUACCACAGGAACAUACCAAGAAAGCCAAGAGAAUCCACAGAACCUUUGGAGGAAGUGGUUUGUCACUGCAGGCUCUGUGGGACAGCUGAGGAACUGUGA
rnacentral:lncRNA from 10 species